ACAUUGGUGGUUCAUUGGUAGAAUUAUCACCUUCCAUGCGGUAGACCCAGGUUUGAUUCCUGGCCAGUGCC
rnacentral:tRNA from 1 species